rnacentral:rRNA from 1 species
AGAGUUUGAUCCUGGCUGAGAGUGAACGCUGGCGGCGUGCUUAACACAUGCAAGUCGAACGAGAACGGGUAUUAGCUUGCUAAUACUGUCAGCUAAGUGGCGCACGGGUGAGUAAUAUAUAGGUAACGUGCCUUCAAGAAGGGGAUAACAAUUGGAAACGAUUGCUAAUACCCUAUAUGCCUUUAAGUCUUAAGACUGCAAGGGAAAUAUUUAUAGCUUGAAGAUCGGCCUGUACAGUAUCAGUUAGUUGGUGAGGUAAUGGCUCACCAAGACAAUGACGCUUAACUGGUUUGAGAGGAUGAUCAGUCACACUGGAACUGAGACACGGUCCAGACUCCUACGGGAGGCAGCAGUGGGGAAUAUUGCACAAUGGAGGAAACUCUGAUGCAGCAACGCCGCGUGGAGGAUGACACAUUUCGGUGCGUAAACUCCUUUUAUAUGAGAAGAUAAUGACGGUAUCAUAUGAAUAAGCACCGGCUAACUCCGUGCCAGCAGCCGCGGUAAUACGGGGGGUGCAAGCGUUACUCGGAAUCACUGGGCGUAAAGAGCAUGUAGGCUGGUUUGUAAGUUGGAAGUGAAAUCCUAUGGCUUAACCAUAGAACUGCUUCCAAAACUGCAGACCUAGAAUAUGGGAGAGGUAGAUGGAAUUUCUGGUGUAGGGGUAAAAUCCGUAGAGAUCAGAAGGAAUACCGAUUGCGAAGGCGAUCUACUGGAACAUUAUUG